rnacentral:tRNA from 2 species
AAUAAAAUGCCUGAUUAAAGGACUAUCUUGAUAGGAUAGAUUAAGUAAUUAUUUAUUACUUUUAUUA